rnacentral:lncRNA from 1 species
UUAUAGGUUAUAGCAUGAAGACAUCUCUUUGAACUGGAAAGCUAUUCCCAUAUGUAAAUUUAAUAUAUAGCAAUGUCUGAAUCUGCAGGAGAUCAGGACUCUUCUCAGCAGACCAAUCAGUCUUAAGCAGCUACGUUAACGAUCAGCAAUUCUAAGAGUGUACUCAGCUUUGAUGGAUUCAAUAAGCUACAUUUGUCUUGGAAAUCUGAGUCAAGGUAGAAACAGAAUUGAUAUUUUUGUUAUUAAUAUUUAUGAUAAAAUGUAGAAAGAUACCUCUCAACGAUAAGGAGAGGAAAUCGCUCAUAAAUUUAGAAAUUGAAACUGCCUCUGUUAACAUUGGAUAAGAUAGUACAUCAUGGAUUUCCUUUCUAGCCAUUUUUGGCUUGGGCCAUCACUUUUCUUGCUGAGUAAUUUUAUUAAAGGCUUUGGAAGAGCUAAGAACAUUUAUCUGAACUCACUGCCUCCUCAUGAGAAUGCCAAAAUUAAAAUUCUAUGAAUGGAAUCCAUGUUUUGUUCUUUGCAAAUUUUCUUUUCAUUAUUUUCUAAGGCUUUGUAGAAAUAUUUUUCUUGGUGCUGCUCAUGGAG